UCUCUGCUGUGCUGCUGCUGCUGCUGCUGCUGCUGGAGGAGGAUUAAGAGAAACUCUGCUGCUUUCAUAUUUCUGUAUUUGAUUGAAAAUAAACUAGUAAUCAAGAUAUUGAGAUCUUUUCCAGCUGAUUUUACCCCCGGAUCAGAGGAGGACUCUUUGUGGGUUGUUAACCAGCUUUAGGAUAUGUGUUAGCUAGCUAAGUUAGCUAAGUUGUGUGUGUAGUUAGCGUUAGCCAGCUAAGUUAGCUAGGUUAUGUGUGUGUUAGUUAACUGGCUAAGUUAACUAGGUUAUGUGUGUGUUAGUUAACUGGCUAAGUUAACUAGGUUAUGUUUGUGUUAGUUAACUGUCUAAGUUAGCUAGGUUAUAUGUGUGUUAGUUAACUGGCUAAGUUAACUAGGUUAUGUGUGUGUUAGUUAACUGGCUAAGUUAACUAGGUUAUGUGUGUAUUAGUUAGCUAGUUUAAAUGUGUGUUAGUUAGCUAGGUUAUGUGUGUUCGUUUGCUAGCUAAGUUAACUUUUAUGUGUGGGUUAGUUAGCUAGGUUAUAUGUGUGUUAGCAAGUUAAAUGCGUGUGUGUUAGUUAGCUAGGUUAUAUGUGUGUUAGUUAGCAAGCUAAGUUAGCUAGGGGAAAUGUGUGUGUGUUAGCUAGGUUAAUCGUGUUAGCUAGUUUAAAUGUGUGUGUUAGUUAACUAGGUUAAAUGUGUGUGUGUUAGUUAGCUAGGUUAAAUGUGUGUUGUUAUUAUUAUUAUUAUUAUUAUUAUUAUUAUUAUUAUUAAUGUUUAUUUCCCUUUAUAAUACUGUGACAUGAUCUGCAGUAACUCUGGUAAAGAAGAACUCAGUAACUCCUCAGUAAUUAGUAAUUAGUUACCAUGUUUCUCACUUUAUAAUACUGUGGUAUGAUUUGCACUAACUCCUAAAGAAGAACACAGUAACUCCUCAGUCAUUAGUAAUUAGUUAACAUGUUUCUCACUUUAUAAUACUGUGGUAUGAUUUGCAGUAACUCCUAAAGAAGAACUCAGUAACUCCUCAGUAAUUAGUAAUUAGUUAACAUGUUUCUCACUUUAUAAUACUGUGGUAUGAUCUGCAGUAACUCCUAAAGAUG